UACGGGAGGCAGCAGUGGGGAAUAUUGCACAAUGGGCGCAAGCCUGAUGCAGCCAUGCCGCGUGUAUGAAAAAGGCCUUCGGGUUGUAAAGUACUUUCAGUCGUGAGGAAGGUGUUAAGGUUAAUAACCUUAGCAAUUGACGUUAGCGACAGAAGAAGCACCGGCUAACUCCGUGCCAGCAGCCGCGGUAAUACGGAGGGUGCGAGCGUUAAAUCGGAAUUACUGGGCGUAAAGGGCACGCAGGCGGUUAAUUAAGUUGGAUGUGAAAUCCCCGGGCUUAAACCUGGGAAUGGCAUUCAAGACUGGUUAGCUAGAGUCUUGUAGAGGGGGUAGAAUUCCAUGUGUAGCGGUGAAAUGCGUAGAGAUGUGGAGGAAUACCGGUGGCGAAGGCGGCCCCUGGACAAAGACUGACGCUCAUGUGCGAAAGCGUGGGGAGCAAACAGGGAUUAGAUACC
rnacentral:rRNA from 1 species